rnacentral:rRNA from 1 species
GCUGGAAACAGUCCUUCCCCUUUGGGGCCGGUUCACAGGUGGUGCAUGGUUGUCGUCAGCUCGUGUCGUGAGAUGUUGGGUUAAGUCCCGCAACGAGCGCAACCCUCGUUCCAUGUUGCCAGCGCGUAAUGGCGGGGACUCAUGGGAGACUGCCGGGGUCAACUCGGAGGAAGGUGGGGACGACGUCAAAUCAUCAUGCCCCUUAUGUCUUGGGCUUCACGCAUGCUACAAUGGCCGGUACAAAGGGUUGCGAUACCGUGGGGUGGAGCUAAUCCCAAAAAGCCGGUCUCAGUUCGGAUUGGGGUCUGCAACUCGACCCCAUGAAGUCGGAGUCGCUAGUAAUCGCAGAUCAGCAACGCUGCGGUCAAUACGUUCCCGGGCCUUGUACACACCGCCCGU